rnacentral:rRNA from 1 species
UACGGAGGGUGCGAGCGUUGUCCGGAAUCACUGGGCGUAAAGGGCGCGUAGGCGGCCUGGUAAGUAGGAGGUGAAAUCCUGCGGCUUAACCGCAGGGCUGCCUUCUAAACUGUCAGGCUAGAGCACAGUAGAGGCAGGUGGAAUUCCCGGUGUAGCGGUGGAAUGCGUAGAGAUCGGGAAGAACAUCGGUGGCGAAGGCGGCCUGCUGGGCUGUUGCUGACGCUGAGGCGCGACAGCGUGGGGAGCAAACAGG